rfam:Picea glauca, whole genome shotgun sequence.
GGGUGCGAUCAUACUAGCGUUAAUGCACCGAAUCCCAUCAGAACUCCGCAGUUAAGCGAGGUUGGGCUAGAGAAGUACUGGGAUGGGUGACCUCCCGGGAAGUCCUAGCGUUGCACCCU